UGGUUGUCGUCAGCUCGUGUCGUGAGAUGUUGGGUUAAGUCCCGCAACGAGCGCAACCCUUAUUGUUAGUUGCCAUCAUUCAGUUGGGCACUCUAGCAAGACUGCCGGUGACAAACCGGAGGAAGGUGGGGAUGACGUCAAAUCAUCAUGCCCCUUAUGACCUGGGCUACACACGUGCUACAAUGGGAAGUACAACGAGUUGCGAAGUCGCGAGGCUAAGCUAAUCUCUUAAAGCUUCUCUCAGUUCGGAUUGCAGGCUGCAACUCGCCUGCAUGAAGCCGGAAUCGCUAGUAAUCGCGGAUCAGCACGCCGCGGUGAAUACGUUCCCGGGCCUUGUACACACCGCCCGUCACACCACGAGAGUUUGUAACACCCGAAGUCGGUGAGGUAACCUUUUUGGAGCCAGCCGCCUAAGGUGGGAUAGAUGAUUGGGGUGAAGUCGUAACAAGGUAGCCGUAUCGGAAGGUGCGGCUGGAUCACCUCCUUUCUAAGGAA
rnacentral:rRNA from 1 species